rnacentral:rRNA from 1 species
GAUGAACGCUGGCGGCGUGCCUAAUACAUGCAAGUCGAGCGAACGGACGAGAAGCUUGCUUCUCUGAUGUUAGCGGCGGACGGGUGAGUAACACGUGGAUAACCUACCUAUAAGACUGGGAUAACUUCGGGAAACCGGAGCUAAUACCGGAUAAUAUUUUGAACCGCAUGGUUCAAAAGUGAAAGACGGUCUUGCUGUCACUUAUAGAUGGAUCCGCGCUGCAUUAGCUAGUUGGUAAGGUAACGGCUUACCAAGGCAACGAUGCAUAGCCGACCUGAGAGGGUGAUCGGCCACACUGGAACUGAGACACGGUCCAGACUCCUACGGGAGGCAGCAGUAGGGAAUCUUCCGCAAUGGGCGAAAGCCUGACGGAGCAACGCCGCGUGAGUGAUGAAGGUCUUCGGAUCGUAAAACUCUGUUAUUAGGGAAGAACAUAUGUGUAAGUAACUGUGCACAUCUUGACGGUACCUAAUCAGAAAGCCACGGCUAACUACGUGCCAGCAGCCGCGGUAAUACGUAGGUGGCAAGCGUUAUCCGGAAUUAUUGGGCGUAAAGCGCGCGUAGGCGGUUUUUUAAGUCUGAUGUGAAAGCCCACGGCUCAACCGUGGAGGGUCAUUGGAAACUGGAAAACUUGAGUGCAGAAGAGGAAAGUGGAAUUCCAUGUGUAGCGGUGAAAUGCGCAGAGAUAUGGAGGAACACCAGUGGCGAAGGCGACUUUCUGGUCUGUAACUGACGCUGAUGUGCGAAAGCGUGGGGAUCAAACAGGAUUAGAUACCCUGGUAGUCCACGCCGUAAACGAUGAGUGCUAAGUGUUAGGGGGUUUCCGCCCCUUAGUGCUGCAGCUAACGCAUUAAGCACUCCGCCUGGGGAGUACGACCGCAAGGUUGAAACUCAAAGGAAUUGACGGGGACCCGCACACGCGGUGGAGCAUGUGGUUUAAUUCGAAGCAACGCGAAGAACCUUACCAAAUCUUGACAUCCUUUGACAACUCUAGAGAUAGAGCCUUCCCCUUCGGGGGACAAAGUGACAGGUGGUGCAUGGUUGUCGUCAGCUCGUGUCGUGAGAUGUUGGGUUAAGUCCCGCAACGAGCGCAACCCUUAAGCUUAGUUGCCAUCAUUAAGUUGGGCACUCUAAGUUGACUGCCGGUGACAAACCGGAGGAAGGUGGGGAUGACGUCAAAUCAUCAUGCCCCUUAUGAUUUGGGCUACACACGUGCUACAAUGGACAAUACAAAGGGCAGCGAAACCGCGAGGUCAAGCAAAUCCCAUAAAGUUGUUCUCAGUUCGGAUUGUAGUCUGCAACUCGACUACAUGAAGCUGGAAUCGCUAGUAAUCGUAGAUCAGCAUGCUACGGUGAAUACGUUCCCGGGUCU